rnacentral:rRNA from 1 species
AAGUCGUAACAAGGUUUCCGUAGGUGAACCUGCGGAAGGAUCAUUAAUGAAUCGAAAGAACGCGUGAGUUCUCGGGUUGCUGCUGGCCUCGCGAGAGGUAUUCGUGCACGCCCCUGUAUCUCGCGUCGUCCCCCUUUCUUCAUCGACCCCCCUAUACGUGCACCCCUAUGCGGACCGGAAUCUUCCCGGUCUCGCGUCUUUACACACACACGCCUUUCAAUAGAACAGAAUGAGACAACGUCGAGUUCGCGCUCGUCGGUAAACAUAAUACAACUUUCAACAACGGAUCUCUUGGCUCUCGCAUCGAUGAAGAACGCAGCGAAAUGCGAUAAGUAAUGUGAAUUGCAGAAUUCAGUGAAUCAUCGAAUCUUUGAACGCACCUUGCGCCUCUUGGUAUUCCGAGAGGCAUGCCUGUUCGAGUGUCAUAUAAUCAUCAACGCGAAAGUUUAUUCUUUCGACGCUUGGAAUAUGGAGUCGUGCGAGCGCCCUUCACCGGGCUUCGCUCCUCUCGAAAUGUAUCGGUGACCGUCUCAUUCGCGGAUCCUCCGGCGUGAUAAUUAUCUACGUCGCUGCGCAUCCGCGUCCAACAGACGUCGCCUACAACCGUCCCUUCGCGGACAGACUUAUGACGAAUUUGACCUCGGAUCAGGUAGGAUUACCCGCUGAACUUAAGCAUAUCAAUAAGCGGAGGAAAAGAAACUAACAAGGAUUCCCCUAGUAACUGCGAGUGAAGCGGGAAGAGCUCAAAUUUAAAAUCUGGCGGUCCUCGCGGUCGUCCGAGUUGUAAUCUAGAGAAGCGACAUCCGUGCCGGACCGCGUACAAGUCUCCUGGAAUGGAGCGUCAUAGAGGGUGAGAAUCCCGUCUCUGCCGCGGACAACCGGUGCAUUGCGAUGCGCUCUCGACGAGUCGAGUUGUUUGGGAAUGCAGCUCAAAACGGGUGGUAAAUUCCAUCUAAAGCUAAAUAUUGGCGAGAGACCGAUAGCGAACAAGUACCGUGAGGGAAAGAUGAAAAGAACUUUGGAAAGAGAGUUAAACAGUACGUGAAAUUGUUGAAAGGGAAACGCUUCAAGUCAGUCGCGUCCGUCGGGGAUCAGCCUUCUCUCGAGUCGGCGUACUUCCCGGCAGACGGGUCAGCAUCGAUUCAGGCCGCGGGAAAAAGUCGAGAGGAAUGUGGCACCUCCGGGUGUGUUAUAGCCUUUCGUCGCAUGCCGCGGCCGGGAUCGAGGAACUCAGCGCGCCGCAAGGCCGGGGUCUAACCCACGUUCGCGCUUAGGAUGCUGGCAUAAUGGCUUCAAUCGACC